CUCCGUUAGCCUACGCAGUAGGCCCGUCGGACAAAAGGAUCAUUUCAAGAACAAACAUUGAGACGAUGUCAAAAGUCUAUGAGAUCGAAAUUUACCGCUUUCAAAGGCUGAGUGGCUGAUCUGUCAGAACAAGGCCACAAGCAAGAUGGCGCUUACGAAACAGGAAAAAGAAGCACUAAAAUCUCAGAAUAAGAUGUUGAGUAAAUCCAUUAGUGAUGCUACCAUCAAGAUGUGCACUAGAGAUAUUAAAUUCAAAGGUAUGCUAGAUAUAGAUGGCCUUAUAUUCAUUAACCAUGGUGCCAAGAAACCAGACGUUGUUGUAAAAAUACACCAGACUGUUAUAAAACCUGUCAUGGCGGAAAAGAAAGAGAAAGCUUCCCAAGAACAGGAGGAUGAUGGCUAUUUUGUGAAUAAAGUGACUCCUGAAGAGCUGAAAGGACUCCAAGAGCAGCAACAACAGCAAAGUGGUCAAUUGGCGGGAGAUCCACAAGGUUCGCUUCUACAGGAAAUUGGGCAGACCAAAACCCCUAUGUUUACUAAGAAGUCCAAAGCUCCCAGCAACAAGACACUAACGAAGCACAUACGAAAUGCUGUUGUGAAACUAUGUACCAAGAACUCUCAAUUCAAAGGCAAUCUCGAGAUAGAUGGACUGAUAUGCGUGUCACCAGGUGACAAAAAGAAAGAAAUUCUUGUCAGAAUCCAUCAGACAAUAAUCCAGAAUGAAAAUGAUACUGCAGAUCAAGCAAAUGCUAAUGCAGGUGCAGCUGUUGUCCAAACUGCUCCACAAACAAGUGAUAGCUACUUUGUAUCUAAAAGGACAUCUACUCAAUCCCAGCCUCCUCAACCACCAGCGCCACCUAUGUCACAACCUCAGCCAAUCACCCAACAUCAAAUUUCCCAUCAACAACCAGUUGCCCAGCAACAGGUUCAGGCUACCCAGCAACAGCAACAAGUUACCCAAUCACAAGCAGUCAUCCAAACUCCUCAACUUCACCAGCAACCACAGCUCCAUCCACAACCAGCUUCUGUUGUCAUUAGCAACACGUUCAAUGUAUUACCCAACAACCAGUACCAGCAAAACACAAACACAGUCUAUCAGAAUAACAUUGGGGUCCCACAACAGAAUUCUUCAUUCAUUACACUUGAUGAUACAACGUUUCAGAAUCUCUUCACUCCAAGACCACUACGUCCUAACGUACACUACAGUCACCAACCAAUACCAGGAACUCUGCACCCACCGGCCUUUGUCAUGGAGGAAACAGUUAUUACUAAUCUAGGUGGUCCAAUUAUCCAACGAGCACCCCAAGUUCCACAAAUCCAGAUGAUUCAAGAGCAGCAAACACAACCUGCAACUUCACAGCAGCAACAGCAGCAUCAGCAACAACAAGAACAGCAGCAUCAGCAACAGCAGCAACAACAGCAGCAGCAACAUAUGACUCAGCAAGAUCAACAGCAGCAGCAGAAU
rnacentral:misc_RNA from 1 species